ensembl:lncRNA
GUUGCCAUCCACCUGACAUGUGUGGCCUAUCAAGAAACUGAUUAAACAGCAUGAUCAUUACACUGGUGCACCUUGUACUGGGGACAAUAAAAGGCCACUUCAAAAUGUGCAGUUUUGUCACACAACAAUACUACAGAUGUCUGAAGAAUUGACAUGCUGACUGCAUGGAGGUCCACCAGAGCUGUUGCCAGAUAAUUUAAUGUUAAUUUCUCUACCAUAAGCCACCACCCACGUUGUUUUAGAGAAUUUGGCAAUAUGUCAAACCUGCCUCACAACCGCAGACCAUGGUGUAGUGUGGGCAAUUUCCUGAUGUUAACGUUGUUAUCAGAGUGCUCCAUGGUGGCAGUGGGGUUAUGGUAUGGGCAAGCAUAAACUACAGACAACGGACACAAUUGCAUUUUAUCGAUGGCAAUUUGAAUGUGCAGUGAUACCGUGACGAGAUCCUAAGGCUGACCCUGAGGCUGGCCCUGAUCUGUUUCACCUGUAUUUGUGAUUGUCUCCACCCCCUCCAGGCGUCGCCCAUUAUCCCCUGUGCACUUAUAACUGUUUUUUUCUGUUUGUCUGUUGCCAAUUUGUCUUGUUUGUCAAGCUUACCAGUGUUCGUCCUGUCAUCUCCUGUCUUUUCCCAGCCUCUCUUUUUCUCAUCCUCCUGGUUUUUGACCCUUGCCUGCCCUGACCCUGUACCUGCCCGCCUGACCACUCUGCCCGUCCUUGACCCUGAGUCUGCCUGCCGUCCUGUACCUUUGCUCCACCUCUGGAUUACUGAACUCUGCCUGUUCCUGACCCUGAGCCUGCCUGCCUUGACCUGUCGUUUGCCUUCCCCCGAUGGUUACAGUAAUCAUUGUUACUUCACACAGUCUGCACUUGGGUCUUACCUUGAUUCCUGAUAGAGGGCCCAUGUCGUGCCAUUCAUCCACUGCCAUCACCUCAUAUUUCAGCAUGAUAAUGCACGGCCCCAAGACGCAAGGAUCUCUGGAACCGUAAAAUGUCUCAGUUCUUCAUCAUACAUGUCACCCAUUGAGCAUGUUUGGGAUGCUCUGAAUCGACGUGUACGACAGCAUAUUCCAGUUCCCGCCAAUGUCCAGCGACUUCACACAGACAUUGAAGAGGAGAGGGACAACAUUCCACAGGCCACAAUCAACAGCCUGAUCAACUCUAUGCAAAGAAGAUGUCGCACUGCGUGAGGAAAAUGUUUUGAAGGAUAGACUGAAGCGAGAUGUCCUCCUGAAGAAGAAAGUGAUUUAUGAAUCUCUGACUGACGAAGUCAAGACCAUAAUGUGCCCAUGUUAUGAGGAGGCUUCAAACAUAUCUGGAAAGGGAACCUUGACGAAGACUCAGGAACUGCUGGUCAAGCACAUCGACUCAUCGAAAACCUCAUGUUUGACAAUGCUCAGAAAAAGAUGUUGGAAGGUUUUGAGAACCUGAGGGAAUACAUAGAGCAGACGCUGAGAACCGAACUACUGGAGUCAUUGAAGCGGUCCCUGAAGACACCUAACAGUUUAUCUCUCCCAGAUGUCAGUGAGCAGUUGAAAAACAUGGAGAACUACAAAAUGUUGGCUCUAAGAGAUCGCACAAGCUGAAUCUGACUGCUGAGAAGAGUCGUAAGCAGUUGUUGUGACAUGAUGGUAAACCAUUCAAAACAAUUGGCUAUAAAAAUGUAUCACAUUUUCAGUAGCUUAUUAAUCAGUAGUUGUUAGUAUCAGUAGUUUUGCCAUAGUUAUUACUCUUAUGUUUACUGACGUGAUGAACGUGGUAUAAGCAGGUUAAACAUUUAGGGUCUAUCAGUUGUCUGAAAAAAUGCAACUCCGUAUUAGAUGCACCAUGAUGCUCAGAGAACUCAUAGCUCCUAGAUGUUUAUCCCUUACAUAUUCUAUACUCAAUGUGUUUAUCCCUUACAUAUUAUAUACUCAAUGUGUUGAUCCCUGACAUAUUAUAUACUCAAUGUGUUGAUCCCUGACAUAUUAUAUACUCAAUGUGUUGAUCCCUGACAUAUUAUAUACUCAAUGUGUUGAUCCCUUACAUAUUCUAUACUCAAUGUGUUGAUCCCUGACAUAUUAUAUACUCAAUGUGUUGAUCCCUGACAUAUUAUAUACUCAAUGUGUUGAUCCCUG